rnacentral:rRNA from 1 species
UACAGAGGGUGCCAGCGUUGUUCGGAAUUAUUGGGCGUAAAGCGCACGUAGGCGGUUCGUUAAGUCGGAUGUGAAAGCCCUCGGCUCAACUGAGGAAGUGCACCCGAAACUGGCGAGCUUGAGUACGAAAGAGGAUCGCGGAAUUCCCGGUGUAGAGGUGAAAUUCGUAGAUAUCGGGAGGAACACCGGUGGCGAAGGCGGCGAUCUGGGUCGAUACUGACGCUGAGGUGCGAAAGCGUGGGGAGCAAACAGG